AUUGAACGCUGGCGGCAGGCCUAACACAUGCAAGUCGAACGCAGUGGGGACGGGUGAGUAACACGUGGGUAACCUCCCAUCAGAGGGGAUAACACUUGGAAACAGGUGCUAAACCGAUACUGAUGGAUGGACCCGCGGUGCAUUAGCUAGUUGGUGAGGUAACGGCUCACCAAGGCCACGAUGCAUAGCCGAGCUGAGAGGGUGAUGGGCCGAAUUGGGACUGAGGCACGGCCCAGACUCCUACGGGAGGCAGCAGUGGGGAAUAGUGCACAAUGGGCGCAAGCCUGAUGCAGCCAUGCCGCGUGUAUGAAGCAGGCCUUAGGGUUUUAAAGUACUUUCAGCGGGUAGGCGUUACCCGCAGAAGAAGCACCGGCUAACUCCGUGCCAGCAGCCGCGGUAAUAC
rnacentral:rRNA from 1 species